CACAGAUUAUAAAAGGAAAAUCAACCACGUCGCGGACACUGACAUCUUGCUUCCGGACAGGCUGAAAACCUUCUUCACUCAGGACAAUACAGUGCCACCGAUGCAACCCGCUAUCAAGGACUGUGGGCUCUCCUUCUCCGUGGCCGAUGUGAGUAAGACGUUUAAGCGUGUUAACCCUCGCAAGGCUGCCGGCCCAGAUGGUAUCUCAAACCGCGUCCUCAAAGCAUGCACAGACCAGCUGGCUAGUGUGUUUACAGAUAUAUUCAAUCUCUCCCUAUCUCAGUAUGUUGUCCCCACAUGCUUCAAGAUGGCCACCAUUGUACCUAAGAAUGAAAAAAAGAGAAAUCUCAGUUUCCUUCUCCAGCGAAUGCCGGGGAUCUGGGUCUGGUCGGGUGUUUGUAGUAUCUCCCUCCCAUCCGAAGAUCAUUGAAGAAAAACUCUGUCUAAUCUGAGCGUUUGAAGUCUCUGGUUUACCAACCACUGGUCCUGGGAACCAUCAUUACGUGCACCUGGCUUUAAUCAUUACGCACACCUGCGCUUCAUAAUUAAGCACACCUGGACUCCAUUACCUCACUCAUUAAUUUCCCUUUAUCUGGCACUACCUUAGGUUCCUUUCCCAGGCGGUAUUGUUUAUGUUGUCUAGAUUCUACGCUGUAUCGGUCCAUGUUAUUUGUUAUAUUAAACCACCUGCUUCUCGACUCCCAGUGUCUAUGGUACAGUCAUAUUAA